GCGAGUCUGAAUAGGGCGAAUGAGUAUUUGGUCGUAGACCCGAAACCAGGUGAUCUACCCUUGGUCAGGUUGAAGUUCAGGUAACACUGAAUGGAGGACCGAACCGACUUACGUUGAAAAGUGAGCGGAUGAACUGAGGGUAGCGGAGAAAUUCCAAUCGAACUUGGAGAUAGCUGGUUCUCUCCGAAAUAGCUUUAGGGCUAGCCUCAAGUGAUGAUUAUUGGAGGUAGAGCACUGUUUGGACGAGGGGCCCCUCUCGGGUUACCGAAUUCAGACAAACUCCGAAUGCCAAAUAAUUUAACUUGGGAGUCAGAAUGUGGGUGAUAAGGUCCAUAUUCGAAAGGGAAACAGCCCAGACCACCAGCUAAGGUCCCAAAAUAUAUGUUAAGUGGAAAAGGAUGUGGCGUUGCCCAGACAACUAGGAUGUUGGCUUAGAAGCAGCCAUCAUUUAAAGAGUGCGUAAUAGCUCACUAGUCGAGUGACACUGCGCCGAAAAUGUACCGGGGCUAAACAUAUUACCGAAGCUGUGGAUUGUCCUUUGGACAAUGGUAGGAGAGCGUUCUAAGGGCGUUGAAGCAUGAUCGCAAGGACAUGUGGAGCGCUUAGAAGUGAGAAUGCCGGUGUGAGUAGCGAAAGACGGGUGAGAAUCCCGUCCACCGAUUGACUAAGGUUUCCAGAGGAAGGCUCGUCCGCUCUGGGUUAGUCGGGUCCUAAGCUGAGGCCGACAGGCGUAGGCGAUGGAUAACAGGUUGAUAUUCCUGUACCACCAUUAUUC
rnacentral:rRNA from 1 species